rnacentral:rRNA from 1 species
CAGCAGCCGCGGUAAUACGGAGGGUGCAAGCGUUAAUCGGAAUUACUGGGCGUAAAGCGCACGCAGGCGGUCUGACAAGUCAGAUGUGAAAUCCCCGGGCUUAACCUGGGAACUGCAUUUGAAACUGUCAGGCUGGAGUCUUGUAGAGGGGGGUGGAAUUCCAGGUGUAGCGGUGAAAUGCGUAGAGAUCUGGAGGAAUACCGGUGGCGAAGGCGGCCCCCUGGACAAAGACUGACGCUCAGGUGCGAAAGCGUGGGGAGCAAACAGGAUUAGAUAUCCCUGUAGUCCCUGUCUCUUAUCC